rnacentral:rRNA from 1 species
GUCUUUUUGAAAUAAUUUAAAGUCUAAUCUGCCCCCUGAUAAAAAAUUAAAGGGCUGCAGUAUAAUGACUGUACAAAGGUAGCAUAAUCAAUAGUUUUUUAAUUGAAAACUUGUAUGAAAGAUUUGAUGAAAUAUGGACUGUCUCUAAUUUAUAGAUUGAAUUUUAUUUUUUAGUAAAAAAGCUAAAAUAAAUUUAAAAGACGAGAAGACCCUAUAGAGUUUUAUAUUUAAUUUUAUUUUAAAAUUAUAUAAAAAUUAAUAUUAAAAAUAAAAUUAAAUAUUAUAUUGGGGUGAUAGAAAAAUUAAAUUAACUUUUUUUAAAAAUUAAACAUAAAUAAAUGAUUAUAUGAUCCAUAAAUAAUGAUUAUAAGAAAAAAUUACCUUAGGGAUAACAGCGUAAUAUUUUUUUUUAGUUCAAAUAAAAAAAAAAGUUUGCGACCUCGAUGUUGGAUUAAGAUAAAAUUUAAAUGCAAAAGUUUAAAAAUUUUGAUCUGUUCGAUCAUUAAAAUCUUACA